rnacentral:rRNA from 1 species
GGCCUAACACAUGCAAGUCGAGCGGUAACAGGGGUAGCUUGCUACCCGCUGACGAGCGGCGGACGGGUGAGUAAUGCAUAGGAAUCUGCCCGAUAGUGGGGGAUAACCUGGGGAAACCCAGGCUAAUACCGCAUACGUCCUACGGGAGAAAGGGGGCUUCGGCUCCCGCUAUCGGAUGAGCCUAUGUCGGAUUAGCUAGUUGGUGAGGUAAAGGCUCACCAAGGCGACGAUCCGUAGCUGGUCUGAGAGGAUGAUCAGCCACAUCGGGACUGAGACACGGCCCGAACUCCUACGGGAGGCAGCAGUGGGGAAUAUUGGACAAUGGGGGGAACCCUGAUCCAGCCAUGCCGCGUGUGUGAAGAAGGCCCUCGGGUUGUAAAGCACUUUCAGUGAGGAAGAACGCCUGGUGGUUAAUACCCAUCAGGAAAGACAUCACUCACAGAAGAAGCACCGGCUAACUCCGUGCCAGCAGCCGCGGUAAUACGGAGGGUGCGAGCGUUAAUCGGAAUUACUGGGCGUAAAGCGCGCGUAGGUGGCUUGAUAAGCCGGUUGUGAAAGCCCCGGGCUCAACCUGGGAACGGCAUCCGGAACUGUCAAGCUAGAGUGCAGGAGAGGAAGGUAGAAUUCCCGGUGUAGCGGUGAAAUGCGUAGAGAUCGGGAGGAAUACCAGUGGCGAAGGCGGCCUUCUGGACUGACACUGACACUGAGGUGCGAAAGCGUGGGUAGCAAACAGGAUUAGAUACCCUGGUAGUCCACGCCGUAAACGAUGUCGACCAGCCGUUGGGUGCCUAGCGCACUUUGUGGCGAAGUUAACGCGAUAAGUCGACCGCCUGGGGAGUACGGCCGCAAGGUUAAAACUCA